CUAAUACAUGCAAGUCGAGCGAACAGAUAAGGAGCUUGCUCCUUUGACGUUAGCGGCGGACGGGUGAGUAACACGUGGGUAACCUACCUAUAAGACUGGGAUAACUUCGGGAAACCGGAGCUAAUACCGGAUAACAUUUGGAACCGCAUGGUUCUAAAGUGAAAGAUGGUUUUGCUAUCACUUAUAAAUGGACCCGCGCCGUAUUAGCUAGUUGGUAAGGUAACGGCUUACCAAGGCGACGAUACGUAGCCGACCUGAGAGGGUGAUCGGCCACACUGGAACUGAGACACGGUCCAGACUCCUACGGGAGGCAGCAGUAGGGAAUCUUCCGCAAUGGGCGAAAGCCUGACGGAGCAACGCCGCGUGAGUGAUGAAGGGUUUCGGCUCGUAAAACUCUGUUAUUAGGGAAGAACAAAUGUGUAAGUAACUGUGCACGUCUUGACGGUACCUAAUCAGAAAGCCACGGCUAACUACGUGCCAGCAGCCGCGGUAAUACGUAGGUGGCAAGCGUUAUCCGGAAUUAUUGGGCGUAAAGCGCGCGUAGGCGGUUUCUUAAGUCUGAUGUGAAAGCCCACGGCUCAACCGUGGAGGGUCAUUGGAAACUGGGAAACUUGAGUGCAGAAGAGGAAAGUGGAAUUCCAUGUGUAGCGGUGAAAUGCGCAGAGAUAUGGAGGAACACCAGUGGCGAAGGCGACUUUCUGGUCUGUAACUGACGCUGAUGUGCGAAAGCGUGGGGAUCAAACAGGAUUAGAUACCCUGGUAGUCCACGCCGUAAACGAUGAGUGCUAAGUGUUAGGGGGUUUCCGCCCCUUAGUGCUGCAGCUAACGCAUUAAGCACUCCGCCUGGGGAGUACGACCGCAAGGUUGAAACUCAAAGGAAUUGACGGGGACCCGCACAAGCGGUGGAGCAUGUGGUUUAAUUCGAAGCAACGCGAAGAACCUUACCAAAUCUUGACAUCCUUUGAAAACUCUAGAGAUAGAGCUUUCCCCUUCGGGGGACAAAGUGACAGGUGGUGCAUGGUUGUCGUCAGCUCGUGUCGUGAGAUGUUGGGUUAAGUCCCGCAACGAGCGCAACCCUUAAGCUUAGUUGCCAUCAUUAAGUUGGGCACUCUAGGUUGACUGCCGGUGACAAACCGAAGGAAGGUGGGGAUGACGUCAAAUCAUCAUGCCCCUUAUGAUUUGGGCUACACACGUCCUACAAUGGACAAUACAAAGGGCAGCUAAACCGCGAGGUCAUGCAAAUCCCAUAAAGUUGUUCUCAGUUCGGAUUGUAGUCUGCAACUCGACUACAUGAAGCUGGAAUCGCUAGUAAUCGUAGAUC
rnacentral:rRNA from 1 species